rnacentral:rRNA from 1 species
GGUGAGUAAUGUCUGGGAAACUGCCUGAUGGAGGGGGAUAACUACUGGAAACGGUAGCUAAUACCGCAUAACGUCGCAAGACCAAAGAGGGGGACCUUCGGGCCUCUUGCCAUCGGAUGUGCCCAGAUGGGAUUAGCUAGUAGGUGGGGUAACGGCUCACCUAGGCGACGAUCCCUAGCUGGUCUGAGAGGAUGACCAGCCACACUGGAACUGAGACACGGUCCAGACUCCUACGGGAGGCAGCAGUGGGGAAUAUUGCACAAUGGGCGCAAGCCUGAUGCAGCCAUGCCGCGUGUAUGAAGAAGGCCUUCGGGUUGUAAAGUACUUUCAGCGGGGAGGAAGGGAGUAAAGUUAAUACCUUUGCUCAUUGACGUUACCCGCAGAAGAAGCACCGGCUAACUCCGUGCCAGCAGCCGCGGUAAUACGGAGGGUGCAAGCGUUAAUCGGAAUUACUGGGCGUAAAGCGCACGCAGGCGGUUUGUUAAGUCAGAUGUGAAAUCCCCGGGCUCAACCUGGGAACUGCAUCUGAUACUGGCAAGCUUGAGUCUCGUAGAGGGGGGUAGAAUUCCAGGUGUAGCGGUGAAAUGCGUAGAGAUCUGGAGGAAUACCGGUGGCGAAGGCGGCCCCCUGGACGAAGACUGAC